rnacentral:lncRNA from 1 species
AAAUGAAAUAUAAUCUGGCUAUAGUUUGACUAGGGGUGGGCAAAAAAACCAAACCGAACUGAUCCAAACCAAACCAACCGAAGUUAAACCGAUCCAAACCAAACUGUGCUCUUUACAUAACCCAAUUGGUUCAUGUUUUACUCAACCUGCAUGGUUUGGUUUGGUUUGGGUUCAAACCGAACCAAACUGAACCAAACCAAUAAUCCAAUAUAUAUAUAUAGUAACAUAUUAUAAAUUUUAGUUAAAAGUUUCGUUUUCCAUAUUUUCUUAACUUCCUUAUAUUUUUAAAAUAAUCCAAAUAUGAUUCAAAUAAUCCUAAUAUUGUACUGAAAACAAAACCUAAAAACUAUAAGCAUCUAAAUCAUAGCCAUCUCGUUUCGUUCAUCUUCUCCAAUUUUCAUUCGCUAAAUUAUGUAAUAAAGUUAUUAUAGGAUCAAUAAAAACAAAAAAGUAGAUGCAAAUAGUCUUUUAGUUAAUAUGUUUUGGAGUGCUUACAAGUCUUUGUUACGCUAAUUAGAUUACAAAUAGUCUGCUCUUUGCUUAUUAUAUAUUUCUUCCUUUGACGUGGUUAAGAGUUUUGUCAUCGAGCUUUAAAUUGUUUUUUGUUUCAUAGAUUUUUAAAGAACCAAACUAAAUCUAAACCAAACCGAACCAAACUAAACCCAAACCGAACCCAAACCAAAGCU